GACGAACGCUGGCGGCGUGCUUAACACAUGCAAGUCGAACGGAAAGGCCCUGCUUUUGUGGGGUGCUCGAGUGGCGAACGGGUGAGUAACACGUGAGUAACCUGCCCUUGACUUUGGGAUAACUUCAGGAAACUGGGGCUAAUACCGGAUAGGAGCUCCUGCUGCAUGGUGGGGGUUGGAAAGUUUCGGCGGUUGGGGAUGGACUCGCGGCUUAUCAGCUUGUUGGUGGGGUAGUGGCUUACCAAGGCUUUGACGGGUAGCCGGCCUGAGAGGGUGACCGGCCACAUUGGGACUGAGAUACGGCCCAGACUCCUACGGGAGGCAGCAGUGGGGAAUAUUGCACAAUGGGCGGAAGCCUGAUGCAGCAACGCCGCGUGCGGGAUGACGGCCUUCGGGUUGUAAACCGCUUCCGCCUGUGACGAAGCGUGAGUGACGGUAAUGGGUAAAGAAGCACCGGCUAGCUACGUG
rnacentral:rRNA from 1 species